rnacentral:lncRNA from 1 species
AGAAAGAAAGUUUUGCUUUCUUUACAAUUUGAUCCUUCCUUCAAAAAAAUUACCAUUUUCACCUAAAAAUCAAAAGAAUUUCCAUAUCCAUCAAGAGAGAAAGAUAACAAGGAGACUAUAGGGAGCUAGAAUAUCAAGUUAGAUUCAAGAAAUAGAGGCUGGAGGAGAGAGAAAAUCAAGUUAAAGAUUGAAAUCAAUUGAGCAAGGUAAGAGCAUCAAGAUUUCAAUAUAUUUUUGAGUUUGAUAUUAUUGAAAAAGUAUGAAAUUGAUGUUAAUGUAGGGUUUUAUUAUAUAAGGUUUUAUGUUCUUGAUAUGUUAGUGAAGAGAAAAUAAGAGAAAGUGAUGAGAAAUAGUGUAGAGAAGGAAAAUAAGAGUGUUAUAAACUUAGUAAUCAAUAUUUUGCACUAAAACAGUUUUGGACAGUAGCAGUAGGUUAACUUUGAAAAAUCACCAUAAAUUGUGAAAAUAUAAUUAGAGGAUGAAUAAAAUAUGAAAUUAAAUAUUAUUGAGUCUAGUUUCUUAUAGAAGAAACGGUGUAAGCAAUAGAAUUGUAAAUCAUGAGAUAUAAUAAAUUUUGUGAGACAAGGUCAGAAUUAUUUGGGGUUCCCCUGUACUUACUUUGGAAAAUCAUCAAAAAUUGGAAAAAAAUAAUUAGAGGCUUAAAUUUAUAUGUUUAAAUCCUUAAUGAGUCUAUUUUCAAUAGAAAUAAACGGAAACAUCAUUAGAAUUCUGUGCGAGGAGAUAAUUAAUUUUUAGUGAAGAAGGGUCGGAACUGUUAGACAGCAGAAUAGGGAUGACUUUAAAGAAUAAACUGUACUUAUUAGCUAUGCCAAAAAUUUUGAAAAUUUUAUGGUAAACAUAUGUGAGUCUAGUUUCAGUCUUAAUUUUGAGUUCUGUAUCUCAAGAUAUAAAUAAUUUAGUGACUACAACUCAAGUGGACAGCUUUGAAUGAAUUUAUAUAAGUAAAUGGUGAAAUUAUAGAUAAUGUUACCUAUAAGCAUGUUAUAUACAUUAAGGAUGUGGAAUGGAGAGGAGGAGGAGGAAAAUAUAUGAUUAUUUAACUAGCAUGAGUUUUUUACAUGUUUUAGGUCCAGGGACUAAAUUGAACAAAUGUGAAACUUUAAGGGUAAAUUUGUAAAAAUGUCAAAAAGUGACCAAAUGAAAUGGAUUGGUUAUUUAUCUAAAUUAAAAAAUUGAAUGAAAUUUAGAACAAUAUUGGGUGGAAAUAUGAGAAAAAUAGAAAAUUUCCAAAAUGUCCCUGAAUUUUGAUAUUUCUGCAAUUUAGUCCGGUGAGCUCGUAUGAGCUAUAUUCUAUAUAAUUUUAAUUGAAGUGAAUGCUAUUUGGUAAUGAAUAUUAUAUACAUGUGUGUGUUUUAUUAUUGGAAUCGAAUUAUUAUUGGUAAUAUGUAUAAUUAUUUGAUGCAUUUAAAUGAUUAUCGGAAGCUCGACUGGGUUGGAAGCUUGUUGGAGAUAUAUCACAUUAUCCAUUGGUUCUAUUGGUAAUUUUGGAUGAUUUGGUUCUGGUUAUAGUGACUUGUAUAAGUUAAAUUAGUUAAUGUUAGCUCAUAAAUGUUUUGAUUUUAAUUGGUCAUAAAUAUGAAUGCUUGAUGAAAUGAAAUGUCUAAAAAUUAAUUUGUAAACUCCGGUAAUGCUCUAUAACCCUAUUCUGGAGAAGGAUACGGGUUAGGGGUGUUACACCCUACCUUAAUCGUAAUCAUUCAUUCUUUUUCUCCCUCAAUUCUCAUCACCUACAAGGAAAACCCCCAAAUCAAUUCACUCUUUUGUAACUUUAUUCUCUUCUCUUCCUUUUGCAACUUUUUAACUUAUAAAAUAUUAUUUAUUUUAUAUAUUAUAUAUUAUAUAUUAUAUAUUAUUUAUAUGAAAUAUUUUAUAUGCUAUAUAUUUUUUAUUUUUAUUUUAAAACAAUAAAUGUGCUACACAAGUGAGGAUGAAUAUUAGUUUUUUUUUUAAAUAUCAAUUAAGGGUACUUAUCAAUCUCUUAACCCUGCUUAAAAAACUCUAUCUCAUGUAUAUCAAAUAACUAUCUAAUUAUUAUUAUUAUAAAAAAUAUAUUUUAGUAUUUAAGUUAAUAAUUAAAUUAGUGAUUUAUAAUAAUUAGAUAGUGCAAUUAAACUAGUGAUCAUAAUUGUUUGUGGAGAAAGUCUUUUAAAAGGAAAUUGCUAUGCUCUUUUUUUUUUUUUAUGUUAUAGUCAUGGCCCUUUCCAUUAAACAUUGUUGUCAAGAAGCUUUCUUUCAAAUGGUCAAAAAAUAUGUCUAAAUUCAAAGGUCUAAAGAUGGAUAAUUACGCAGCCUUUGCCUUCACAUGUUACAAUGAUGAAAUUUGUAAACAUAGAGGGUUAAAUUUUUUGAAUUAAUUAGAACUAGGAUUAAAUUGAUAGAAUGUGUAAGUGUUGAGGACUACAUAUGUAAUUAUGCCAAUUAAAAAUGGUUAGGUCAUCAUUUCUGUUAACGAAAGGUAACCAAAACAGAAACAAAUGAUAACGAUAAUGACGAAAAUGAAUAUUUUUAUAAUUUGGUUACUAAAACAUAAACUCACUAAUAAUAUGAUGAGUAACUAGAUAAUUUACCCUAAAAUUAAACAUUGAGAAUAAAUUGAAAGUACAUUUUAAAUAAGUUGAUCCAACGUCAUGCCAGUGUCAUGGGUUGCACAAGGAAACCCGCAAUCAUGGCACAUUUGAAUGAUUCAUCUUGUUCGCGAAGGGUGACAUCGCCCAACAGGAUAAACCUGCUGCUUAGAGAGAUUGAAAGUUCAUCUACAAAGCAUGCCAAGUAUGGGAAGUAGUCUUCGAAGAUAUGCAAUCUUAGAAGAUUUGAUUCUAUAAAUCUUAGUGAUUUAUUUUGUAGAUUACUUUUAAUCUUGACCAUUGAUGUACUUUAAUAUGUACUGAAUUUAGGAAAGCUCAACUCUGAAUAGAGGCCUCUACUUCUCAUUGUAUACACUUCAUUCUUGAGUAAUAGAAUUCUUUGAGAGCAUUCACUCAAA